rnacentral:rRNA from 1 species
CCUACGGGAUGCAGCAGUGAGGAAUAUUGGUCAAUGGACGGAAGUCUGAACCAGCCAUGCCGCGUGCAGGAAGACGGCUCUAUGAGUUGUAAACUGCUUUUGUACAAGGGUAAACCUGAAUACGUGUAUUCAGCUGAAAGUACUGUACGAAUAAGGAUCGGGUAACUCCGUGCCAGGAGCCGCGGUAAUACGGAGGAUCCAAGCGUUAUCCGGAUUUAUUGGGGUUAAAGGGUGGCGAGGCGGAGUGAUAAGUUAUAUGGGAAAUGUCCGAGCUUAACUCGCGAACUGCCACUAAUACUGGUGAUCUAGAGAGGAGAUGAGGUAGGCGGAAUGUAUGGUGUAGCGGUGAAAUGCUUAGAGAUCAUACAGAACACCGAUUGCGAAGGCAGCUUACC